rnacentral:rRNA from 4 species
UUAGCGGCGGACGGGUGAGUAACACGUGGGCAACCUGCCUGUAGACUGGGAUAACUUCGGGAACCGAAGCUAAUACCGGAUAGGAUCUUCUCCUUCAUGGGAGAUGAUUGAAGAUGGUUUCGGCUAUCACUUACAGAUGGGCCCGCGGUGCAUUAGCUAGUUGGUGAGGUAACGGCUCACCAAGGCAACGAUGCAUAGCCGACCUGAGAGGGUGAUCGGCCACACUGGGACUGAGACACGGCCCAGACUCCUACGGGAGGCAGCAGUAGGGAAUCUUCCGCAAUGGACGAAAGUCUGACGGAGCAACGCCGCGUGAGUGAUGAAGGCUUUCGGGUCGUAAAACUCUGUUGUUAGGGAAGAACAGUACGAGAGUAACUGCUCGUACCUUGACGGUACCUAACCAGAAAGCCACGGCUAACUACGUGCCAGCAGCCGCGUUA